GAUGAACGCUGACAGAAUGCUUAACACAUGCAAGUCAACUGUGGCGGACGGGUGAGUAACGCGUAAAGAACUUGCCUCACAGUUAGGGACAACAUUUGGAAACGAAUGCUAAUACCUGAUACUGUGAGAGAGCUUUGCGUCCCAUUAGCUAGUUGGAGAGGUAACGGCUCACCAAGGCGAUGAUGGGUAGCCAGCCUGAGAGGGUGAUCGGCCACAAGGGGACUGAGACGCGGCCCUGACGCCUACUGGAGGCAGCAGUGGGGAAUAUUGGACAAUGGACCAAAGUCUGAUACAGCUAUUCGGUGUGCACGAUUAAGUUUUCGGAAUGUAAAGUGCUUUCAGUUGGGAAGCAGUACCAACAGAAGAAGUGACGGCUAAAUACGUGCCAGCAGCCGCGGUAAUUC
rnacentral:rRNA from 1 species